rnacentral:misc_RNA from 1 species
GAUGAAGAACGCAGCGAAAUGCGAUAAGUAGUGUGAAUUGCAGAAUUCAGUGAAUCAUCGAAUCUUUGAACGAACAUUGCGCCCCUUGGUAUUCCAUGGGGCAUGCCUGUUCGAGCGUCAUUUGUACCUUCAAGCUCUGCUUGGCGUUGGGUGUUUGUCUCGCCUCUGCGCGCAGACUCGCCUCAAAACGAUUGGCAGCCGGCGUAUUGAUUUCGGAGCGCAGUACAUCUCGCGCUUUGACAACAAAACGACGACGUCCAAAAAGUACAUUUUUUACACUCUUGACCUCGGAUCAGGUAGGGAUACCCGCUGAACUUAAGCAUAUCAAUAAGCGGAGGA